AGUGAACGCUGGCGGUAGGCCUAACACAUGCAAGUCGAACGGCAGCACAGUAAGAGCUUGCUCUUACGGGUGGCGAGUGGCGGACGGGUGAGGAAUACAUCGGAAUCUACUUUUUCGUGGGGGAUAACGUAGGGAAACUUACGCUAAUACCGCAUACGACCUACUUGUGAAAGCAGGGGAUCUUCUGACCUUGCGCGAUUGGAUGAGCCGAUGUCGGAUUAGCUAGUUGGCGGGGUAAAGGCCCACAAAGGCGACGAUCCGUAGCAGGUCUGAGAGGAUGCGCACCCACACCGUGAGGGAGGCACGGGCGGGAAAUUUAGGGCAGGGGGCAGAAGGGUAUACCGGACAAGCGGCGAGGGUCAAAAACGCCUUGGGGGUGUAAAGCCUUUUUGUUGGAAAAGAAAAAAGCCCGGUUAACCCCCCGGUUUUUGACAGGACCCAAAGAAAAAGCCACGGGUAACUCCGUG
rnacentral:rRNA from 1 species